GUCUACCAUGCAGUCGAGCGGAUGACGAGAGCUUGCUCUCUUGAUUCAGCGGCGGACGGGUGAGUAAUGCCUAGGAAUCUGCCUGGUAGUGGGGGACAACGUCUCGAAAGGGACGCUAAUACCGCAUACGUCCUACGGGAGAAAGCAGGGGACCUUCGGGCCUUGCGCUAUCAGAUGAGCCUAGGUCGGAUUAGCUAGUUGGUGGGGUAAUGGCUCACCAAGGCGACGAUCCGUAACUGGUCUGAGAGGAUGAUCAGUCACACUGGAACUGAGACACGGUCCAGACUCCUACGGGAGGCAGCAGUGGGGAAUAUUGGACAAUGGGCGAAAGCCUGAUCCAGCCAUGCCGCGUGUGUGAAGAAGGUCUUCGGAUUGUAAAGCACUUUAAGUUGGGAGGAAGGGCAUUAACCUAAUACGUUAGUGUUUUGACGUUACCGACAGAAUAAGCACCGGCUAACUCUGUGCCAGCAGCCGCGGUAAUACAGAGGGUGCAAGCGUUAAUCGGAAUUACUGGGCGUAAAGCGCGCGUAGGUGGUUUGUUAAGUUGGAUGUGAAAGCCCCGGGCUCAACCUGGGAACUGCAUUCAAAACUGACAAGCUAGAGUAUGGUAGAGGGUGGUGGAAUUUCCUGUGUAGCGGUGAAAUGCGUAGAUAU
rnacentral:rRNA from 1 species